CUGCCGUUGCCUCUUCAUUGAUAUCUCUGCCUUUCUUCUCAGCCAUCUUCAAUUCCCGUCCAGCUGGAACCCGUUCAGUGAAUGCACAGUGCUCCAUGAGAUCAUAGCAUCACCUGCCUCUCCAGGCCCUUCUCCCCUCCUUACCUACCUGCCAGCCAAGUGGGCUCUCUUGCUGCUGCUGUUCCUUUCAGAAAAUACUGCAAUUUCUACCUGAACGAAUUUUCUUUCGAUGGCAUUACCAGAGUAUAGACAUCCCCCAUUUGAGACCAAAGCCAGUGUACCUUACUACAACGCGAGAUGAUGAAAACAUUUACAGUACAAAAAUUCCAUACAUGGCAGCUCGUGUUGUUUUUAUUAAAUAGAUUGUAACUUUCUUUUUAAAAAAAAGUAUCUAACUACAAAAAACACUAAAAAUGGAGUUG
rnacentral:lncRNA from 1 species